rnacentral:rRNA from 1 species
GACGAACGCUGGCGGCGUGCUUAACACAUGCAAGUCGAACGGUGAAGGGACCAGCUUGCUGGUUCUGGAUGAGUGGCGAACGGGUGAGUAACACGUGAGUAACCUGCCCCCUUCUUCUGGAUAACCGCAUGAAAGUGUGGCUAAUACGGGAUAUUCUGGGUCUGUCGCAUGGCGGGCCCGGGAAAGAUAUUGCUUCGGUGGGGGAUGGGCUCGCGGCCUAUCAGCUUGUUGGUGGGGUGAUGGCCUACCAAGGCGGUGACGGGUAGCCGGCCUGAGAGGGUGGACGGUGACACUGGGACUGAGACACGGCCCAGACUCCUACGGGAGGCAGCAGUGGGGAAUAUUGCACAAGGGGCGCAAGCCUGAUGCAGCGACGCCGCGUGAGGGAGGGAGGCGUUCGGGUUGUAAACCUCUUUCGCCAGUGAAGCAGGCCUGCUCCUUGUGGGUGGGUUGACGGUAGCUGGAUAAGAAGCGCCGGCUAACUACGUG